UUUUUUUUUUUUUUUUUUUUUUUUUUUUGGUAUGUGUAGACGUGAAAAUGUAAAAAGUUUGCUUUUUCCUACUAUUAAGGAAAUAAAGCUCUCUUUCCAGCAUCUUCUGGGCACUUUAAUACUUAUGAUAUAAUGGUAGUAAAUUUAAUGGUGAAUUGUAGAGAUUACUUAAAUAGAUACAUAUGUUUAGAAAUACAAAUAUGUCUAAAUUAGUAGUCCAUGACUAGAAUUGGGUGAAAUGUUACAAUUAUUCCUUGCAAUUAUUGAACUGUCAGAAAUACUAACUACACAAAUACACACCACUCAUAUUUCAUUUCAAAAUGUAUAUGGUAAAAAAAGAUAGGUAUUUAAAGGCCUUCUUUUACAUAUUAAGCAUUGUUGAAAUAUAGAAAAUUAGUAUCCUGUCCUUGGAAGUUGCCUUAGAAAUUUCCAACUAUGUAGUUUUCAAAAAUUUCUAGAAAACAUAACAUCUAUAGGAUAGUGUUUUGGGAUAAUGAAGGUGAAAAAAUUUCAGGCUUGAUAUUUCCAUAACAUUAGUAAAAGAUAAUGAUUAAUCUGUAUGGUGAUUGAACAGAGAGGAUGAGUUCACAGUACCUAGUUAGAGAAAAGUGGAUGUCCUACAAGGAUAACAACAACUAGAUUAAUUGAUGACCUGAAAAUAUAUAAUUAUACCUCUUAGGAAUUAAUUUCUCCUGUACAAGCAUGUAGUCUAAGCCUCUAUGAGGAAAUGGAAGUACUCUCAAUAAAUUGGACAAAUAGCUAGAAAAAUUGAAGUUCUUAGUUUAGAUAUUUAGCAACAAAGUUAAGUUGCAUAGUUUUUAAUUCCUUGAGAUUGUAAUCACAUCAAUCAAGAAAGAGCAAGCAUAAAAGAGAAAAGCCAAUAUGAAAAACAGUAAUAAUAAGCUGACCAGAGAAUAAACAACUGAAAAAUAUUUUAAACAUAAAGACUAAAAAAUUAUAAAAACCUCAAUGAAGAUACACAGUGAAGGAAAUAUUGUAUUCAUAAAUUAACAAACAUAUAUAUAUUACAAAAAUAAUAUGUAAUUGUUCUACCCUAAAACAAAAUUGAAUGAAGAACUAGAAUAUAUAGCAGUCUCUAUUGAAAGGUUAAAAAAAAAAUUGAAAAGGGAAGAAACAGAAAAUAUAGGAACUGUAUAAGACAGAUAUAAGCAGAAAUUUACGAGAUCCAGCAUCAGGAGGGAACUGUGAGAGGGAAUCCACAUAUGAACCAAAAAUGGAAGGGAAUUAAUCAGAGAGAAUGUCACAAGACUUCAGACUGAGAAACACUAAAACAAUGUCAAAAAUGUCAGAAGUUUAGACACAUCAUCAAUUUUAUCUUAUAAUUCCAAAGGAAAAAAAUAUGAAAAAAAAGGUUAUGUACAACACAAAAAAGCCAGAAUUCCAUCAUAUUUUGCAUUAUUAACUAUAAAUCGUGGAAAAUAAUGAUAUGUUGGUUUUAAAAUUUUGAAUGCAAUUGCAUUAAAAGUAUAUGAUAACAUUCAAACAAUCAUCCAUUUAGAAUGCAAAAGGAGUUUUUAGGCAAGUAAGCACAAAGCAAAGUUACCUCAUGUGAACCUAUUUUCAGGAACUUACUUGGGAAUUUAAUUCAUAGGAUCAUGGGAGCAAUGUAAGAGAUGGGAGAUUGUGAUAUCCAGCUAACAGUGCUUUAAAACUAGAGAAGAAAAGAAGAGAAUCAAUAUAAAGACAGCUGUGUAGGAAACUAUUAAGAAACCAGUUCCUUUGUUCCAGAAUAGAGAUUUUAGGGAUAAAGAAAACAUGAAAAUCACCAGUCAAAGGGGAAAAUAUUUUGACUGAUAGUUUGCAAAAAUUUGAGGCUAUUAUAAAAGAAAACAAUUCAGAGAGAAAAUGAGUUAAAAAAACAUAACUCUAAGAAAAAUAGCAAACCACCACCAUAAGAAAUUUUAAUAUUAAAUAAAACUUCCCCCCUAUAUGAUGCAAAUGAAUUGUGGCUCUUGGGAUUUUAACAGAUUAUAAAGAUAUAUGUUAAAGAUUAUUCUUAUUUGUUUUCUUAAAGGAUAUGGUCUUACCCAUGAAAAUAAUAUAAUCAUAACUCACAUUUGUUACAGAAUUAGCUAUGU
rnacentral:lncRNA from 1 species